UGCCCGACUGAAUGCGACCUUCUUUCGCCGGUCUCUCCCCCGUUGCCUUUUAAUUCUUCCAACUCCCCGCCUUUCGAAUCUUUUUUAACCGAAAAAACCCGUCUUUUUUGCCUUCUCUCUCUCUCCCCUUUAUGAACUCGGAGUGAAACCUGUCUGCGCCUGGAUCAUUGGUCCGUCUCCAGUGUUGAUUAUCGUCCCUCAAGUGACAGGCCAUUAUCAUCCUACGUCUUGAGCAACUUGGUAGCCUACAAUUAACCUUGGGAGAUGAAUGCAAAAAAGAACAACGCGGGAAAACAAAAAGCUGCGAGAUUUCGGCGUGAACUGCAUGUCACGAUUUAAUGUUAUUGACACGAUGAAUUUAGAAGCUGUUAAUUCGACUUGGCCUCGCGUAAGGCUCGCUCAACGGUAAAAUGUUACUAAACUUUCCUCUCAAUUCCCCCUUUAGGAACGUGACUGGAGAUUUUAAGAGGCUUCGACUGCAUUCUAAUGAAACGUUAAAUUUCUAUGACAGCAGCCGACUCGCAUUGUAAAUACCGUUUCACUCAGAUCUGGCGUUAAAUCAACUUAAAAAUGAGCAAAUCCUAAGCAGAAAAUAACAGUUUGACACUUACGAAACACGAAAUAGCCAUUUGCACUUAAACUGAUUGCCGUCGUUAACCAUAUAGAUAGAUUGUUUGAGUAAGACUAGAUCAGUUAUUGAAUUGUUUGUACAUGGUUUUUUUUUAGAAUGCACACCUGUAACAGCUGCGUGCUUUACACGAAACUCCUCCUAUUCAAUGUGCAAGGUGAUGCGUUUCAUGAACGAAUUCAUGACUUGUCUCUCUUUACAAUUGUAAAUGUUCUAUUGGAGUUACACAAAGAAAUUGGGGGAAAAACCGGACUUACGAUGCGGCACGAAUCCUUCUCCAAUCUUUUGCUCUGAAUAACUGUGGGCAUCAUCGUCCAGUCGUACUU